CAAUCUACAAAAAUGAAAGCUGCAACUGUUUGCAGUUAAUUAUUAUUGUGAAAAAAAUACUACUUUAUAGUGAAGUUUUACCUAUUUAAAGCCAUUAGGAAACUAAAAGUGAAUCUCUAAACCCGCAUCGCAAGCCAUAUCCCUUUUACCAAUAACAAUAUGACUAAUUUUAUGGCCCCGGAACCGCUCAGUCCCGGAAAGGAACUGGCAUAGACCCCUAGCUACUGCUGUAGACAUGGCAGCCGUCUAGGGUGGGCGCAGAUUGCAGAAGGCCUCUUUUUGCUCAGGGUCUUUGGUGCGGGAAGGCUAUCGGAAGCGUGAAUAUAGGUGCUUGGUCGAUAAGAUGGUCGGUUAGUCGUUGGACGAUAAUGCGACGGUCGGGUGCCUUGACGGUGCCUUGAUGCAACCCACGAGCAUUCGGUCGUCAAAGUCACCCGCGGGAGGCCAAACGGGAACGCAGCCGUCUCGUGGCCGAAGGGUGGUGAGACCCUAAAUUGAUAAGGCAGCUGGAAUGUCGUACAAGCAACAGCUUCCGACAAGUGGCCGAGCGAUGUUGCGGUCAAACGAUAACGUAGCCGGCUCCCAACGAAUUGAGCCGAACUAGAAUCCAGGGUACGAAUGGGCGAUCGAGCAGGAUGCCAUUGGCAGGUGGCCGUAGCGACCUUUGACAGAUAGGUCAGAGCCGCGUCCUUUCUCGAGAAACUGCAGAUAUAAAUAUACGCAAAAAAAAACACUUGGCACCUCUGUCUUUAACUCUCCCACAAGAACCCUGUCGACCAAACGCUUAGGCUUCUGUCCCACCGCCUCAGGCUUGAGUACUCAUCCCUCACGGAAGCGCGUGUUUUAUCUUCCCUAUUUUCAUACUGUUAGAGGUCGCUCAAUCACCUGGUUUGCAUUUUGACGACCCACCGUAUAAAUUUAAUUUUACCGUUUGGAAACAAAAAACAAGUAAGAAGCCUUCACGCUUCAAUUAAUCAAAUAAAGAUAACUAAAUGUUACCACUGGUAACAUUUAGUUUUUGUUUCCCUUGGAAUUCGAUUAAAAACAAGGAUUUUCCAUUUGCGACGCUCCUGCUGCAGAUUCUACUGAUGCACGCAAAAAUCGAAACUAUUCGCAAAGAAACGAAACAGAUUCAUCUAUCGUACUAUUCUAGAGCAAAAUUAUUUUCAUUAUUUGAAUUGAUCACGAUCAUAAGAACAACAUUGAUGUAGGCAAGGAUGUAGGUGAAUCUGAUCUGUACCGAAAUUUUGCAAGUUCAAGCUGAAGAGUUAUAUCGAGUGUGUAUUGGAAUGCUAUCAGGGAUACAUGAUUCUGCCGAUAACAUGCGUGGACGUACGGUCCUUGAAACUUUUGAGCAUCCUCGGGCCGCCGCCAUUACAUGUUCAUCCUUAAAUAGAUUCACAGUUUGGUCAAAAUUCAUGCAAAAAAAUGCAAACGUAAUUUGCCAAAGUAAU